rnacentral:rRNA from 1 species
AACGCUAGCUACAGGCUUAACACAUGCAAGUCGUGGGGCAGCAUGGGAGAUGCUUGCAUUUCCCGAUGGCGACCGGCGCACGGGUGAGUAACGCGUAUCCAACCUGCCCUUCACUCCGGCACAGCCCGUCGAAAGACGGAUUAAUGCGGGAUGCAGUCAGAAAGAUGCAUAUUAAUUUGACGAAAGGCUUUAUGCCGGUGAGGGAUGGGGAUGCGUCCGAUUAGCUUGACGGCGGGGUAACGGCCCACCGUGGCUACGAUCGGUAGGGGUUCUGAGAGGAAGGUCCCCCACAUUGGAACUGAGACACGGUCCAAACUCCUACGGGAGGCAGCAGUGAGGAAUAUUGGUCAAUGGGCGAGAGCCUGAACCAGCCAAGUAGCGUGCAGGAAGACGGCCCUAUGGGUUGUAAACUGCUUUUGUGCGGGAAUAAAGCGGGUCACGUGUGGCCCUUUGCAUGUACCGUACGAAUAAGGACCGGCUAAUUCCGUGCCAGCAGCCGCGGUAAUACGGAAGGUCCGGGCGUUAUCCGGAUUUAUUGGGUUUAAAGGGAGCGUAGGCCGUCUCAAAAGCGUGUUGUGAAAUGUCCGGGCUCAACCGGGGCCGUGCAGCGCGAACUGUGAGACUUGAGUGUGCGGAAGGUAUGCGGAAUUCGUGGUGUAGCGGUGAAAUGCAUAGAUAUCACGAAGAACUCCGAUUG